AAUCAACAUACAUCAAAAGCUACCUUGAAAGUUAUUUUUCUUAUAUUUUUAAAUAAAAUGUAUUGAAUACAUGAAUAGACUAAUAAGAUUUAUAAAUUAAAUUUAGAGCUUAAGAAAAGCUGGGUUUUACAUUCUCUAACUUUAAUAAAUUGACUAUUAAUUUUGAACACCAGUAACUAUAAGUAGUUGGGUAUCACUGACGUGGCAUUACUGGCUGGUAACUGAGAAGUUCCAAUUUGAUGGCUUCUGUUUUCUCUGAAAUAGGAAUGCUUUUCCACUGUUCCUUUACCACGCCAGCAGGCCCUCAAUUCCAGACUUUGGCACUUGGUGUUCCCUCUGUCUGAAAUGCUCUAUCCUCAGAUCUCUGUAUGGUUCUUUACCCUAUUCAAGGCCUUGCUCAAAUGUCACCUCUUCAGAGAAGCUGUCCCCAAAUACCAUCCUUAAAACAAUACUCGCCGGACACCGGAUCAGUGUCUCUCCCCUGUCUAAACACCACAGUGGCUUCAUUUUAUAAUUUGUUUAGUUUGAAUAAGAAUGGAGGCAUAUUUUCCUUGUUCAAAAUGAAAUCUAGGCAAAAACAAAUGUUUUCUUGGCCACUCACUAUGAAGUUAGACACAAUAUAUAAACAAACACACACACCUCUUUUUUAAAGUAAAUACGUGCUUUCUGUAUGACUUUUCUUUAUCAUUUUUAAUUUAAAAGUAUUAAAAAGAAGUGCAGUAUGUACAAGAAAGCUUAUGGUAGUAGUACUAUAGUGGGAAAAAGAAUAAUAGAAACAACCUAAAUGCCUAAUAACAGGAAAAUACUUAAGUUAAGAAAUAUAUACAUUAAAAAACAUAAUACAACCAUAAUAAAUAAUAAUUAUGAGUAUAUAAAAGCAUAAAAGUGUUUCAAAGACAUUAAGUUUAAAAAAAAAUUAAUUACAAUGACAAAUAAGUCCAACCUUUACAUUACUCAAAUAUUUACUAACCAUGUGGCAUGUGCCUGACCUGACCUGGAAG
rnacentral:lncRNA from 1 species